rnacentral:misc_RNA from 1 species
UUUCCGUAGGUGAACCUGCGGAAGGAUCAUUACAGAGUUCAUGCCCUCACGGGUAGAUCUCCCACCCUUGAAUAUUAUACCUUCGUUGCUUUGGCAGGCCGUGGAAACACCAUGGGCCCCGGCUUAUGCGUGCCUGCCAGAGGAAACAAACUCUGUUUUUAGUGAUGUCUGAGUACUAUAUAAUAGUUAAAACUUUCAACAACGGAUCUCUUGGUUCUGGCAUCGAUGAAGAACGCAGC